UGUGGAGAUUUUUUAUCUUUUAUUUUCUGGUUUUGGUUUUUUGGGGGGAAAGGGUGGGUUUUACUGAGUCACAUUGCAGAGAAUUUUGAGUGAGCAGUUAGUGUCGUCCGUGCCUUCCACACUGUAUUACAUCCACAAGAAAAGGAAAGUAGAUACACGAUGAUAUUAAGCAGACCUUCCCAAGGACCACAGGCUUCUGCAAGAGAAGUAUGUGGGUUAAUUGUGAACUGGGCAAUUGUUUAACUAUUGUUCAAGUGUUUAUAUCUUAUCAAGCAAACAUAGAUGGAUAUUUAUAUGUAUGAAUAGCAGUGUGAAACUAAAUUGUUUUUACAUGGCCUAUUUGAUGGUAUUAGAAAGAUAUUAUCUAAGAAUAAUUUUUGCAGAGAGCUGGAUUCCAAACAAUCUUCUCAACAUACAGAUUUAUUUUUCUUAUUCAUUCCUUUAUUUUGCUUUUAUGUUUGUUUCUUUAUUUUCUAUUGUGCUGUGAAACUGUAUUUGGGUAUUUCUAAUAACCCUGUUAAAUAACCCUCUCAUGAAAUAGUUUUAAUUUUAAUCAAAAGAAUGUAUGAAACAAUAUAUGAAAUAAUUGGGAUACUAUUGCAUUUUUAAAACCUCAAACUAAUAUGAAUGUUCAAAGAUUAAAGCAUAUAGUAAGUAUUUCUCAAUAGAAGAUUAAUAGUUUUAAUUCACUAAAGUCAAAUUUGCCUGUUUCGAUAUGGUAUUGUUUUGUGGACCAAAUCAAAUUUGAGUGACGUUUUUCUUCAAAGUAGAUUUCUUUUUUAAUUAGACAUUCCUUAUCUUUAUGAAAUACAUACAUGCAUUUUAAUUUGGUCCCAUUUGUGAUAAACUUGACUACAGAAUAUUGUUCAAUUUAGGAAUUAUGUUAAUAAUUUUACUCCACCUAUGUAGUGCUCCUUUCUGAAUGUAUGAACAGCUAAUAAUAUAAUUAGCAUAUAGGAAGUGGUAGUCUGACUUUUUAACACAAAUGUAGUUACCUCAGAGAAAGUAUAUACUUUCCAAAUGGUUCACCCUACCCAGAAGUAGAAAAACAGAUCAUUCACCUGGAUACCAGGAAUAAACACAUGAACAGCAGUUUAGUUUCGAAUAGCCAAAACCUGUUGAUAGACAGCUAAAUGACAUUUUACUGGUAAAUCAUGCUAACAAUGUACAUGUUUGUUUUGUUUCACUGGUAAUUCAUUUGGCUUGAAGAAAUUAUCAAACUCAGUGCUUCGCAAACAGUACAGACAGAACAUUUAUGCCCACAUAUUCACAGUAUCUUAUCCUAGGACUUAAUGAAAUUCUCAUUAAAUGCAAGAAAGUCGUCUUCAAAGAGUUCAUGGGCCAUUUCCAAAUUUGACUGUGAAAAGAGGAGAGAUCAAAUACAUGGAAGGCAAAAACAUGCAACUCUUUUAAAGGCACUUGGAGAAUUAUUAGAACACAGUACACUAUUGAUAUUCCUCCACAGAGAAACUAAAAGCAGAGAAAAUCUUAUCUUAAAUGGUUUUGACAAAGAUUCAACAUGAUGUUCUGGAGUUUAAUAGCUCAACUUAGACAGUCAAAAUGGACUUGUGAUUCUAAUUUCUAAAUUACAUCUAGUGACUAAGAAAAAAAAGAAGGUGAUACAAAAACAUCCCUAAAAGCCAUUAGUAUUUCCUCUCUAGUCUCAUCAAAGCCAAAGAGCCCGGAAAUAUGCAGUUUUGAAAGAAUUCAAAGCACUGAAUCAAUCGCCCCACAAAUAGUAGAGAAAAGGAAUAACAAUCGAGCCAUACUCUUUGUGAUCAAGAAUUGAGAAUCUGGAUUAUUAGCUGGGUGUUGUUGUUGUUGUUGUUUUGUUGAUGGUGAGGUUUUAUGCUAAUGACAGUUUGUUUUCCUUUAAGGAUUGAAUUUUUAUUUCAGUCUCUUUUGGGUCAUUGACAUUCUUAGAAGCAAAGGAAUUCAAAAUGUAAUUAUUUUACUAUUGCU
rnacentral:lncRNA from 1 species